CCGCCCGUAGCUCAGCUGGUAGAGCAGCUCCCUUUUAAGGAGAGGGUCGCAGGUUCGAUUCCUGCCGGGCGGA
rnacentral:tRNA from 1 species